rnacentral:rRNA from 1 species
GAUGAACGCUGGCGGCGUGCCUAAUACAUGCAAGUCGAGCGAACAGACGAGGAGCUUGCUCCUCUGACGUUAGCGGCGGACGGGUGAGUAACACGUGGAUAACCUACCUAUAAGACUGGGAUAACUUCGGGAAACCGGAGCUAAUACCGGAUAAUAUAUUGAACCGCAUGGUUCAAUAGUGAAAGACGGUUUUGCUGUCACUUAUAGAUGGAUCCGCGCCGCAUUAGCUAGUUGGUAAGGUAACGGCUUACCAAGGCAACGAUGCGUAGCCGACCUGAGAGGGUGAACGGCCACACUGGAACUGAGACACGGUCCAGACUCCUACAGGAGGCAGCAGUAGGGAAUCUUCCGCAAUGGGCGAAAGCCUGACGGAGCAACGCCGCGUGAGUGAUGAAGGUCUUCGGAUCGUAAAACUCUGUUAUUAGGGAAGAACAAAUGUGUAAGUAACUAUGCACGUCUUGACGGUACCUAAUCAGAAAGCCACGGCUAACUACGUG